GCUGUUCUUGCAGGUUCUUGUAUACAGCUCUGAAAGAAUGUCACUACUGCAGAGUGUUGGCAAAUGAGAGCCAUCUGUACAGUUGAAAAUCAAUUGGAAAGCCCGUGUGUCUGUGUCGGUGUGUGUGCGUGCGUGUCAGGACAAAGUUUUUUUUCAAACUUUCAGGUCACUUUGAAUAAUACGUAGCAAUUCUUAAAAUCACAGCUAUCUUGCUUGAGAGGAAUCACGUAUGAAAGUUGGAUAAUAUUAAUACCCCUAUGAAAGUCUCAAGGACUCUGUCUUGUCAGAGAGGCCAAAGGAGCUGACACACUUAGAAAUAGAUGCAGUAUGUUCAGUGAUGCUUCCUGGGUGAACUCCCCGUCUCCCCAUCGGUUAUCUGCUUGCUCGUCAGUCUCCACUUGCUCCAGCAUAUUUUCCUCUCUUAAGCUCUGUGCCUUGAUGUGGAACCAUUUGGUUCACAGUUAUGGAUAGGAAAGCAUGCGAAGCUACAGUUUAAUAGGAUUAUUUUUCAGACUAUAUGAUAAAAUAACUAUAGCACUAGGAUAGGCACCCCUCCCUUAGCGGCUUUACUAUUUACCCAGAAUUGACCUGCCUUUGCCUAUGUAUGAGGCAUUCUAAUGGCUAUCAAGAAUAAUGCAUCCUUUAAAAGAAAACUCAAACUGAAAGGUUUUCCCUGAAAUGAGCACAUAUUUUAGUUUACAUCAUCAAUAUUGUUAAAUACAUUGAACUGGGCCACCGUUAAUCUGUGUGUGGUACUUUCAAAAUAAUAAAGCAAAUUUCAUUUUCUGUUAUUAUCAUAUGAGUGUAAUUUUAGUUUCUAAUAACCACAAUCAUGUAUGGUUUUGAUUUUCCCAGCUGAGCAAUUGUGUAUGUAUGCAUAGGAAAUGUUCCGCUCAAAUUUAGUUUGGAUUUCCAGUAACAAUAAAUCAAAUCUCAUCUUUAUGUAUAAAAGCCCCAUAUGUAAUGUAAAAUGUAUUAUAUUGUACAUAAAUACUCAGAAUACAAUUAUUUUGGUAAAUUAGUUUGUAUUUUUAAUGUCCCUUUGCAGUAUUUAAUUAUUUGAAACACAUUGAAACUUGGGUAAUAAUCAAUAAACUUAUAAAAAGUUAAGGAUAAGUCUUUUAAAGCAUAUAAUUUCUUAGUGCUUUGUUAUCUAUGGUUUUUCUUUAUAGGACAAUAUAAAUUAAUGAAUUAUUAAAUGCCUUUCCC
rnacentral:lncRNA from 1 species